rnacentral:rRNA from 1 species
AUUGAACGCUGGCGGCGUGCUUAACACAUGCAAGUCGAUCGGUAACAGGUGUAGCAAUACAUGCUGACGAGAGGCGGACGGGUGAGUAAUGCUUGGGAAUCUGCCUAUUAGUGGGGGACGAACCCGGGGAAACUCGGGCUAAUACCGCAUACGCUCUACGGAGGAAAGCCGGGGACCGCAAGGCCUGGCGCUAAUAGAUGAGCCCAAGUCGGAUUAGCUAGUUGGUAGGGUAACGGCCUACCAAGGCGACAAUCCGUAGCUGGUCUGAGAGGACGACCAGCCACACCGGAACUGAGACACGGUCCGGACUCCUACGGGAGGCAGCAGUGGGGAAUAUUGGACAAUGGGGGCAACCCUGAUCCAGCGACGCCGCGUGGGUGAAGAAGGCCUGCGGGUUGUAAAGCCCUUUCGGUGGGGAAGAAAAGUCUCGACCUAAUACGUCGGGACCUUGACGUAACCCACUAAAGAAGCACCGGCUAACUCUGUGCCAGCCGCCG